CCUACGUGAGGCAGCAGUGAGGAAUAUUGGUCAAUGGGCUUACGCCUGAACCAGCCAAGUCGCGUGAGGGAAGACUGCCCUAUGGGUUGUAAACCUCUUUUGUCAGGGAGCAAUUGGCGCUACGUGUAGCGUUAUCGAGAGUACCUGAAGAAAAAGCAUCGGCUAACUCCGUGCCAGAAGCCGCGGUAAUACGUAGUAUUCGCGCGUUAUCCGGAUUGAUUGGUUUUAAAGGGUCCGUAGGCGGACUGCCAAGUCAGCGGUAAAAUCGCGGGGCUCAACCUCGCUCCGCCGUUGAAACUGGCGUUCUUGAGUGGGCGAGAAGUAUGCGGAAUGCGUGGUGUAGCGGUGAAAUGCAUAGAUAUCACGCAGAACUCCGAUUGCGAAGGCAGCAUACCGGCGCCCAACUGACGCUGAAGCACGAAAGCGUGGGUAUCGAACAGGAUUAGAUACCCGUGUAGUC
rnacentral:rRNA from 1 species